rnacentral:rRNA from 1 species
UGUUUGAUGUUCUAACGUGGACCCGUUACCCGGGUUGCGGACAGUGUCUGGUGGGUAGUUUGACUGGGGCGGUCUCCUCCUAAAGAGUAACGGAGGAGCACGAAGGUUGGCUAAUCCUGGUCGGACAUCAGGAGGUUAGUGCAAUGGCAUAAGCCAGCUUGACUGCGAGCGUGACGGCGCGAGCAGGUGCGAAAGCAGGUCAUAGUGAUCCGGUGGUUCUGAAUGGAAGGGCCAUCGCUCAACGGAUAAAAGGUACUCCGGGGAUAACAGGCUGAUACCGCCCAAGAGUUCAUAUCGACGGCGGUGUUUGGCACCUCGAUGUCGGCUCAUCACAUCCUGGGGCUGAAGUAGGUCCCAAGGGUAUGGCUGUUCGCCAUUUAAAGUGGUACGCGAGCUGGGUUUAGAACGUCGUGAGACAGUUCGGUCCCUAUCUGCCGUGGGCGCUGGAGAACUGAGGGGGGCUGCUCCUAGUACGAGAGGACCGGAGUGGACGCAUCACUGGUGUUCGGGUUGUCAUGCCAAUGGCACUGCCCGGUAGCUAAAUGCGGAAGAGAUAAGUGCUGAAAGCAUCUAAGCACGAAACUUGCCCCGAGAUGAGUUCUCCCUGAGACUUAGAGUCUCCUGAAGGAACGUUGAAGACGACGACGUUGAUAGGCCGGGUGUGUAAGCGCAGCGAUGCGUUGAGCUAACCGGUACUAAUGAACCGUGAGGCUUAACCUUACA